AGCAGUCGCCGCGGUAAUACGGAGGGUGCAAGCGUUAAUCGGAAUUACUGGGCGUAAAGCGCACGCAGGCGGUCUGACAAGUCAGAUGUGAAAUCCCCGGGCUUAACCUGGGAACUGCAUUUGAAACUGUCAGGCUGGAGUCUUGUAGAGGGGGGUGGAAUUCCAGGUGUAGCGGUGAAAUGCGUAGAGAUCUGGAGGAAUACCGGUGGCGAAGGCGGCCCCCUGGACAAAGACUGACGCUCAGGUGCGAAAGCGUGGGGAGCAAACAGGAUUAGAUACCCCGGUAGUCCCUGUCUCUUAUAA
rnacentral:rRNA from 1 species